UUGCACUGGGGUCACUGUGGAUU
rnacentral:piRNA from 1 species